rnacentral:rRNA from 1 species
GACGAACGCUGGCGGCGUGCUUAACACAUGCAAGUCGAACGAAGUGGCGAACGGGUGAGUAACGCGUAAUCAACCUGCCCUUCAGAGGGGGACAACAGUUGGAAACGACUGAUAAUACCGCAUACUGAAGGAGGGGAUUGCGUCGGAUUAGCUAGUUGGAGGGGUAACGGCCCACCAAGGCGAUGAUCAGUAGCCGGGCUGAGAGGGGGAACGGGCACAUUGUGACUGGGACACGGCCCAGACUCCUACGGGAGGGAGCAGUGGGGAAACUUCCGGAAUGGACGAAAGUCUGACGGAGCAACGCCGCGGGAGUGAUGACGGCCUUCGGGUUGUAAAGCUCUGUUAAUCGGGACGCGGUACCGGAAUAGAAAGCCACGGCUAACUACGUGCCAGCCGCCGCGGUAAUAC